GAGAGAGAGAAACCAAGAAACAGACUCUUAAUUACAGAGAACAAACUGAUGGUUACUAGAGGAGAAGGGGUGGGGGGAUGGGGGAAAUAGGUGACAGGAAUUAAGAGGACACUUAUGAGCGCUGA